GUCCACGCUGUAAACGAUGUGUGCUAGACGUUGGGGAGCCUAGCUCUUCGGUGUCGCAGCUAACGCUUUAAGCACACCGCCUGGGGAGUACGGCCGCAAGGUUAAACUCAAAGGAAUUGACGGGGGCCCGCACAAGCGGUGGAGCAUGUGGUUUAAUUCGACGCAACGCGAAGAACCUUACCAGCCCUUGACAUGUCCGGUAUGGGUGGGGAGACCUCAUUCUUCAGUUCGGCUGGCCGGAACACAGGUGCUGCAUGGCUGUCGU
rnacentral:rRNA from 1 species